ensembl:lncRNA LINC01206 long intergenic non-protein coding RNA 1206
GGCAGUUGAGAUUCAGACCUUGACAGUUGUAACCGAUAGACUGGGCUGGGGCAACGCUGAUGAAAGGCAAAUUCCUGAGAGAAAAAUCACCCAGAUUUUUCAGUGCCUUCUCUAGCUUUCUAGAAGUUGUUAUGAGUGGACCUGACUACCUAGAGAGAGUAAUACAGAAGCUCCGUGCCGAUCACAGCUACCUCAUUACCAUGUUCCUCCAAGAUGGCCGCCCCUGAGGAGAAUCAUCAACUGGGCUUUACGGAAGAGAGAAAUCCAAACGACCAUCAGCAACAAAUGAAAGACUGAAGUUGAAAGUUUCAAGAUUGUCAAGAAUGACGAGUUGGACUUGGUCUAGUUACUUCCACAGCAGCAGGAGGAACAUGUGUGUGACUCAGGAUAACUGGGGAAGCCUUGGCUAGGCUUUCCUCAUGUCAACCUACCACUCAAAGGGAGAAAACCUCCUGAUCAGAGGAAAUCCAUAAUUUUUGAAUGCUGGCCGAGGUCUGUGACCUCUGACUGAAUGGUUUCCAAGCUCCGAAUUCCUAGGUGAUGUUUUCAUUUGUUCACACUUGCUGAAGAAGGGAAAGGCUCUCUGAUUUACGUGUAAGCAAAACAAUCUAAACAGUAGGAUAAAAUCAUGUUGGAAUGGAGUUCUGUGUGGAUGCUCCUUUGAACCAAAUCAGUUCCACAACUGACCCUGUCAGGGACAUAUAAAUUUAGCAUUUUGGUGUGGAUACAGAAGACGAGAUUAACACAGAUCAAGUAACAUGGAAAUAAAAAAGGAGACAAUGCUGGAUGAUACAGGGGCAGCCAACAAGAGGAGAAAACCCAAGCAUUGGCAAAUGCCUCAUUAUCCAAAGAACACUGAGGUGUGGAGCAAAACUGUGUUGAAUGAACUGUAGAUGGAAAUUCUCUCCUUCCCACCGAGGAGCCGCUGCAGGUUGCAGACUCCCAGAAUGCCACACUGAGAAGAGGAGGGCUAAAAUUCUAGAGCAGAAUCCCUGGGGCAGCCCCUGCUGAAGAAGGGUGCAUCUGUUGAGAAUCUCAUCACCGCCCCCACCCCGCCCAGCCUUCAAUUUAGAGGAAUUUCUAGUUCACGCAGAAUGAAGACAAGAUCACAUAAGUGAGGACGACGCCCCAUUUACAAGUGUGAUUUGGAAGACUGAAGUGGAAACCUUGGGAAGGGGCCUCAGAGUAUGUCAGCUGGGGUCAGACGGGAACAGGAGUCUGGCUCAACACACAUUUAUUGCACUCCUGUUUCAUGCCAAGAAAUGUACCAAAAUCUGGGACUGUGUAACACAGCAAAGGAAAAGACUCAUCUCCAGGAAGCCCCCUUGUCUAGGAAGAGAAAUUGAAUAUCAGCAUAAGGUGGUGAAAAGCUGUGAAGGAGAUGAGUGCCAGGAGUCCAUGGAGGAAGGAUUCUAGCCUGGACAGAGUCUCCAUGAAUUGCAAGGGAAAACAAGUGGUACACUGGUAUUUCUAUUUGAUAACCUGUUCUCUUUGGAAUUCCGGUUAGAAAUCAAAGGCUUACUUGAGUUUUAAUGCUUUCGGGACUUCAAAUGCUUUUCUAUCUUCCUAAUAAUAUAUUAACAUUUUCUGAAGACAACAUAUAUGUGGAAAACAACAUUAUUUACUCAAAUAAUUUUUUUUGAAAAAUGGACCAAAAAAAAAGAAAAACCAACAAAAA